CCUACGGGGGGCAGCAGUGGGGAAUAUUGGACAAUGGGGGGAACCCUGAUCCAGCCAUGCCGCGUGUGUGAAGAAGGCCCUCGGGUUAUAAAGCACUUUCAGUGAGGAAGAACGCCUGGUGGUUAAUACCCAUCAGGAAAGACAUCACUCACAGAAGAAGCACCGGCUAACUCCGUGCCAGCAGCCGCGGUAAUACGGAGGGUGCGAGCGUUAAUCGGAAUUACUGGGCGUAAAGCGCGCGUAGGUGGCUUGAUAAGCCGGUUGUGAAAGCCCCGGGCUCAACCUGGGAACGGCAUCCGGAACUGUCAAGCUAGAGUGCAGGAGAGGAAGGUAGAAUUCCCGGUGUAGCGGUGAAAUGCGUAGAGAUCGGGAGGAAUACCAGUGGCGAAGGCGGCCUUCUGGACUGACACUGACACUGAGGUGCGAAAGCGUGGGUAGCAAACAGGAUUAGAUACCCCAGUAGUC
rnacentral:rRNA from 1 species